GAACGAACGCUGGCGGCAUGCCUAACACAUGCAAGUCGAACGAGACCUUCGGGUCUAGUGGCGCACGGGUGCGUAACGCGUGGGAGCCUGCCCUUAGGUUCGGAAUAACUCCCCGAAAGGGGUGCUAAUACCGGAUAAUGUCUUCGGACCAAAGAUUUAUCGCCUUUGGAUGGGCCCGCGUUGGAUUAGCUAGUUGGUAGGGUAAAAGCCUACCAAGGCGACGAUCCAUAGCUGGUCUGAGAGGAUGAUCAGCCACACUGGGACUGAGACACGGCCCAGACUCCUACGGGAGGCAGCAGUGGGGAAUAUUGGACAAUGGGCGAAAGCCUGAUCCAGCAAUGCCGCGUGAGUGAUGAAGGCCUUAGGGUUGUAAAGCUCUUUUACCCGGGAUGAUAAUGACAGUACCGGGAGAAUAAGCUCCGGCUAACUCCGUG
rnacentral:rRNA from 1 species